GCCAAGAGGGAAAAGGGCU
rnacentral:snRNA from 1 species